UACGGAGGGCGCAAGCGUUGUUCGGAAUCACUGGGCGUAAAGCGUGUGUAGGCGGCACGGCAAGUUGGUUGUGAAAUCCCGGGGCUUAACCCCGGAACUGCAACCAAAACUGCCGAGCUUGAGUCUUGGAGAGGGUGGCGGAAUUUCCGGUGUAGAGGUGAAAUUCGUAGAUAUCGGAAGGAACACCAGUGGCGAAGGCGGCCACCUGGACAAUGACUGACGCUGAGACACGAAAGCGUGGGUAGCAAAC
rnacentral:rRNA from 1 species